GCAAGUCGAGCGGAAACGGAGAUAGCUUGCUAUCAGACGUCGAGCGGUGGCCGGGUGAGUAAUGCCUAGAUAUCUGCCUAGUCGUGGGGGCUAACAGUUGGAAACGACUGCUACUACCGCAUACGCCCUACGGGGGAAAGGAUGGGCCCUUCGUGCCUUUCGCGAUUAGAUGAGUCUAGGUGGGAUUAGCUAGUAGGUGAGGUAAUGGCUCACCUAGGCGACGAUCCCUAGCUGUUCUGAGAGGAUGAUC
rnacentral:rRNA from 1 species